UACGUAGGGGGCAAGCGUUGUCCGGAUUUAUUGGGCGUAAAGAGCGUGUAGGCGGCCAGGUAGGUCUGCUGUGAAAACUCGAGGCUCAACCUCGAGAUGUCGGCGGAAACCAUCUGGCUAGAGUCCGGAAGAGGAAAGUGGAAUUCCUGGUGUAGCGGUGAAAUGCGUAGAUAUCUGGAGGAACACCGGUGGCGAAGGCGGCAUCCUGGACCGAUACUGACGCUGAGGAGCGAAAGCCAGGGGAGCAAACGGG
rnacentral:rRNA from 1 species